ACUUUAUUCCAUCAUUACACGCUUUAGUUUUCACAAGCAUUGAAAAUACACUGCUUUUUACUCUGAGUCCCUUCCAAUUCCUUUCCUCCAUCUAUAAAGUUAUUCCCUUUUGAAGAAAAAAAAUUGAAUCCUAUGACUCGGAAUAAUGUUAUGAGUUGCAGUCUAUGGGACACUUAUGGAUCGAAGUUUUCAAGGACGUGAUGCGCAAAUAUUCAUUUUAGAUCUGCAAAUAUAUGUUUUUAGUUUUUUACAAUCAGAUAUGCAUGAAGAGCUUCUAGAAAAAAAUUGAUGUUUCAUCAUAAUCAAAUCUGUAGGAAGAGUUUAUGGGAAAAAAUUGAAAUCAACUCAAGUAUUCAAGGGCGUAGAGGUGGAAGAAAUCAAAGUCAUGGAUAUGGAGACUAACAAACCCCUCCUGAUCUGCGCUUCCAUCAGAAUCAGAUCUGCCAAUAUUGGUUGGUUUCAGAUCCGCAAAUAUUGGGUUUUUUUUCUCGAAUCAGAUUUGCAUGAAGAGUUUUUAGAGAAAAAAUCAUGUUUCAUCGUAAUCAAAUAAUCAAAUCUAAAGGAAGAGUUUUUGUCGAUACAGCCAAUAACAUUAAGCAAUUUGACUGAUAAUAGUGGGAGUUUGAGCAAUUGGAGUGAUGGAGACCCAUGUACAUUACCGUAAUAUUCCAAAAAAAAAAAGGCAAUAUCAAAUAUUUAAAGAAUUCAGAGUUUUUGUGUUUAUUUUUAUAAUAUAAAUGUAAUUUCAUGUAAUUAAUAUAUAUUAAUAAUAAUUAAUAUUGUGAAGUUUUGUAACUAUGGAAGCAUUAAUUUUAAUAUUGUGAAAUUAUGUAAUUAUGGCCGCAUUAAUUUUCUUAAUUCAAAAUGAUUUGAUUUUUUAGAAUAUUUUAAUAUUUUCUUUAACAAUUAGUAAUGAUAGUCCCAAAUGUUUUUUCCAAAAUAAAUAAAAUAGAUACUAUUCAUUAGGCGUGCAUACCCUAUGAAGUUCCCAAAAAGAAGCUUUCAAAUUUUACAAUGCUCAGCCACAUUGAGCGUUUG